rnacentral:rRNA from 1 species
GACGUAGGGCGCGAGCGUUGUCCGGAUUUAUUGGGCGUAAAGAGCUCGUAGGCGGCUUGUCGCGUCGUUCGUGAAAACCCGGGGCUCAACUCCGGGCUUGCGGGCGAUACGGGCAGGCUAGAGUUCGGUAGGGGAGACUGGAAUUCCUGGUGUAGCGGUGAAAUGCGCAGAUAUCAGGAGGAACACCGGUGGCGAAGGCGAGUCUCUGGGCCGAUACUGACGCUGAGGAGCGAAAGCGUGGGGAGCGAACAGG